UUCCGGUUGAUCCUGCCGGACCCUACUGCUAUCGGGGUGGGACUAAGACAUGCGAGUUGAGCGUCUCUAAGCUAUGGUAGAGACGCGGCGUACGGCUCAGUAACACGUGGCUAACCUACCCUUAGGACGGGGACAACCCCGGGAAACUGGGGCUAAUACCCGAUAGGCGAGGAGGCCUGGAAUGGUUCUUAGUCGAAAAGGCGUUGAAACCAUGCUUUUCGACGUCGCCUAAGGAUGGGGCCGCGCCCGAUCAGGUUGUUGGUGGGGUAACGGCUCACCAAGCCUAUAACCGGUACGGGCCGUGAGAGCGGGAGCCCGGAGAUGGGCACUGAGACAAGGGCCCAGGCCCUACGGGGCGCAGCAGUCGCGAAAACUCUGCAAUGCGCGAAAGCGUGACGGGGCUACCCCGAGUGCCGUCCGCUGAGGAUGGCUUUUCUCCGGUGUAAUGAGCCGGGGGAAUAAGGAGAGGGCAAGUCUGGUGUCAGCCGCCGCGGUAAUACCAGCUCUCCGAGUGGUAGGGAUGAUUAUUGGGCUUAAAGCGUCCGUAGCCGGCUUAGCAAGUCUCCUGUUAAAUUCAGCGACCUAAUCGUUGAGCCGCGGGAGAUACUACUAGGCUAGGAGGCGGGAGAGGCCGACGGUAUUCUCGGGGUAGGGGUGAAAUCCUAUAAUCCCGGGAGGACCACCAGUGGCGAAGGCUGUCGGCUAGAACGCGCUCGACGGUGAGGGACGAAAGCUGGGGGAGCGAACCGGAUUAGAUACCCGGGUAGUCCCAGCUGUAAACGAUGCGGGCUAGGUGUUGGGGUGGCUACGAGCCACUUCAGUGCCGCAGGGAAGCCAUUAAGCCCGCCGCCUGGGGAGUACGGCCGCAAGGCUGAAACUUAAAGGAAUUGGCGGGGGAGCACCACAAGGCGUGAAGCUUGCGGUUCAAUUGGAUUCAACGCCGGG
rnacentral:rRNA from 1 species